UACGUAGGGUGCGAGCGUUAAUCGGAAUUACUGGGCGUAAAGCGUGCGCAGGCGGCGCGUUAAAGACAGGUGUGAAAGCCCCCGAGCUUAACUUGGGAAUUGCGCUUGUGACUGGCGUGCUGGAGUGUGGCAGAGGGAGGUGGAAUUCCACGUGUAGCAGUGAAAUGCGUAGAGAUGUGGAGGAACACCGAUGGCGAAGGCAGCCUCCUGGGCCAGCACUGACGCUCAUGCACGAAAGCGUGGGGAGCAAACAGG
rnacentral:rRNA from 1 species